AUAAACAUCACAAAUAUUAAUUGUUGUACAAAUACAUUUGAUUAGUAUCGAUACAUUUAAAUUUUGAAUCCCUCUUAUCCUCGAAAUUGUUUGGGUUUUUUUUCUUCUGGCAGCUCCAAUAUAGAAUGUAUUUUUAUUUGGAAUUCAGUAUUUUCAUUUUUUUCAUUAAUCCCUGAUCCACCUCUUUCUUAAAACUGUUAUUUCUAUUAAUGGUCAGUAGUCGUAAACCUAUCAAAUGAUUCUAUUGAUUAACCACAAAGUACUGCCGACAUGUUCUCAAUUUGUAUCAGCAAGACACGUGCAUUUGCUUAUCAAACGUAUUAUCAUCAAAACUCAUUAACAGUUAUAGAUAUGUAAAUAUUUUCUUCUUCUCAUGUUUUCUAAUAUUAAGAAGUAAAACAAAAAA
rnacentral:lncRNA from 1 species